AUUGAACGCUGGCGGCGUGCCUAACACAUGCAAGUCGAGCGGUAACGCGGGAGCAAUCCUGGCGACGAGCGGCGAACGGGUGAGUAAUGCUUCGGAAUCUGCCCAAUAGUGGGGGAUAACUACUCGAAAGAGUAGCUAAUACCGCAUGAGAACUGAGGUUGAAAGCAGGGGAUCGUAAGACCUUGCGCAACUGGAGCGGCCGAUGGCAGAUUAGGUAGUUGGUGGGAUAAAAGCUUACCAAGCCGACGAUCUGUAGCUGGUCUGAGAGGACGACCAGCCACACUGGGACUGAGACACGGCCCAGACUCCUACGGGAGGCAGCAGUGGGGAAUUUUGGACAAUGGGCGAAAGCCUGAUCCAGCAAUGCCGCGUGCAGGAUGAAGGCCUUCGGGUUGUAAACUGCUUUUGUACGGAACGAAAAGCUUCGGGUUAAUACCUUGGAGUCAUGACGGUACCGUAAGAAUAAGCACCGGCUAACUACGUGCCAGCAGCCGCAGUAACAC
rnacentral:rRNA from 1 species